GAUGAACGCUGGCGGCGUGCCUAAUACAUGCAAGUCGAGCGAACAGAUAAGGAGCUUGCUCCUUUGACGUUAGCGGCGGACGGGUGAGUAACACGUGGGUAACCUACCUAUAAGACUGGGAUAACUUCGGGAAACCGGAGUUAAUACCGGAUAACAUUUGGAACCGCAUGGUUCUAAAGUGAAAGAUGGUUUUGCUAUCACUUAUAGAUGGACCCGCGCCGUAUUAGCUAGUUGGUAAGGUAACGGCUUACCAAGGCGACGAUACGUAGCCGACCUGAGAGGGUGAUCGGCCACACUGGAACUGAGACACGGUCCAGACUCCUACGGGAGGCAGCAGUAGGGAAUCUUCCGCAAUGGGCGAAAGCCUGACGGAGCAACGCCGCGUGAGUGAUGAAGGGUUUCGGCUCGUAAAACUCUGUUAUUAGGGAAGAACAAAUGUGUAAGUAACUGUGCACGUCUUGACGGUACCUAAUCAGAAAGCCACGGCUAACUACGUG
rnacentral:rRNA from 1 species